GACGAACGCUGGCGGCGUGCUUAACACAUGCAAGUCGAACGAAGAGCGACGGAAGCUUGCUUCUAUCAAUCUUAGUGGCGAACGGGUGAGUAACGCGUAAUCAACCUGCCCUUCAGAGGGGGACAACAGUUGGAAACGACUGCUAAUACCGCAUACGAUCUAAUCUCGGCAUCGAGGAUGGAUGAAAGGUGGCCUCUACAUGUAAGCUAUCACUGAAGGAGGGGAUUGCGUCUGAUUAACUAGUUGGAGGGGUAACGGCCCACCAAGGCGAUGAUCAGUAGCCGGUCUGAGAGGAUGAACGGCCACAUUGGGACUGAGACACGGCCCAGACUCCUACGGGAGGCAGCAGUGGGGAAUCUUCCGCAAUGGACGAAAGUCUGACGGAGCAACGCCGCGUGAGUGAUGACGGCCUUCGGGUUGUAAAGCUCUGUUAAUCGGGACGAAAGGCCUUCUUGCGAAUAGUGAGAAGGAUUGACGGUACCGGAAUAGAAAGCCACGGCUAACUACGUG
rnacentral:rRNA from 1 species